CACAACUGAAUCGGCUUUCAAGGGCGGUAGCUAUGAUCUCCGAAAGGAGGUGAUAGCAUGACAGUAUACGAGGCGUUAACGCUAAUGCUUUCCUUCGGGACAUUCGUCGUCUUGAUUCUGUCCUUCCAUAAAAGGAAAUGAGCCGCCCUUGACCUAGGAUAACGGCUCAUUCUUGAGUUGCUUCCGUAUAGCCACCGCCUUUGAAGCGGCAGUUGUGGGGAUUCGUGUUACCAGCACGAGUC
rnacentral:sRNA from 1 species